GAUGAACGCUAGCGGAAGGCUUAAUACAUGCAAGUCGAGCGGUAGAUGGGCUUCGGCCAUUGAGAGCGGCGCACGGGUGAGUAACGCGUACAUGACCUGCCCUGUCAGAAGGGAAUAGCCCUGGGAAACUGGGAUUAAUACCCUAUGGUAUUGAUAUUAUGAAUGAUAUCAAUUAAAGUUGAGGCGCUGACAGAUGGAUGUGCGUCUGAUUAGCUAGUUGGUAGGGUAACGGCCUACCAAGGCGACGAUCAGUAGGGGGCGUGAGAGCGUGGUCCCCCACGACGGGUACUGAGACACGGACCCGACUCCUACGGGAGGCAGCAGUAAGGAAUAUUGGUCAAUGCCCGCAAGGGUGAACCAGCCAUUCCGCGUGAGUUGAAGAAGGCCCUCGGGUUGUAAAGCUCUUUUGUCCGGAAAGAAAAGCACUGGGUUAAUACCCCGGUGUCCUGACGGUACCGGAAGAAUAAGCACCGGCUAACUUCGUGCCAGCAGCCGCGGUAA
rnacentral:rRNA from 1 species